CUCGGAAACUCUCCGUCGUUUGAGGACAAUGGAAGGCUCAACGUCGGCAGCACGGGCACCUCCAGUCAUAUCAAAUUUUACUCCGUACACGUCACCCUCCUUGCCUAAGCCAAGCUUUCUGUAGGCGGUAAUGAGGAGAGAGGACUGUGCCUGAAUCAACUACUCUGUGUUUCCUCAGCUCUGAGCACAGUGCUUAGCCCAGAGACCGAAGCAAACUGUCCUACCAUGCGAGAGCAAGAUACAAAAACACAGUAGGUAUCAUUCCCAGAACAAUGCCCA